rnacentral:rRNA from 1 species
GAUGAACGCUGGCGGCGUGCCUAAUACAUGCAAGUCGAGCGAACGGACGAGAAGCUUGCUUCUCUGAUGUUAGCGGCGGACGGGUGAGUAACACGUGGAUAACCUACCUAUAAGACUGGGAUAACUUCGGGAAACCGGAGCUAAUACCGGAUAAUAUUUUGAACCGCAUGGUUCAAAAGUGAAAGACGGUCUUGCUGUCACUUAUAGAUGGAUCCGCGCUGCAUUAGCUAGUUGGUAAGGUAACGGCUUACCAAGGCAACGAUGCAUAGCCGACCUGAGAGGGUGAUCGGCCACACUGGAACUGAGACACGGUCCAGACUACUACGGGAGGCAGCAGUAGGGAAUCUUCCGCAAUGGGCGAAAGCAUGACGGAGCAACGCCGCGUGAGUGAUGAAGGUCUUCGGAUCGUAAAACUCUGUUAUUAGGGAAGAACAUAUGUGUAAGUAACUGUGCACAUCUUGACGGUACCUAAUCAGAAAGCCACGGCUAACUACGUG